GCCAGCAUUGCCUGCAUUAUGUCCUGUUGGUCAAAUGCAAGUCAUACCCCUAAGUCCAGAUUCAAGAGGAGGAGAGGUAGUUUACUUGGGGUGGGGAGGAGGGGGGGCGUCCAUCUCUGGAGACAAGUUUACUACCAGGCUGAAGAGACAUGCCGUCCUGGUUCUGCUGGUCAUCCUUGGACAAGUGUCUUGACCUUUCUGGGUUUUAGCUACCUUAGAUGUAAAAUGACAGAAAUGGACUAGACAUCUCGAAGAUUCCCUUGGCACCGACAGGCAUGGGCUUGGCUCCCAGAAGCGCAAGGGGAACCCUGCUUUCCAGGCUUGGCUUCUGGUGGGGUAGGUGGGCCAGUUGCCCACCUCAAAUCCCAGAGCCCAUGUCCCCCAGCUGAGCUCCCAGACUUGAGAACUGAGAACCGGUGGGGCUUGAAGUCCGGAGCUUUGGGGGAAAAAAAUUGCCCUCCCCAGCCAUCCCUAGGUGCCUUCCUCACAAGUUCAUUACCAUUGAAUUUAAUAACCAAAUGUCAUCCAAAUGCCAUUUAUUCUGUCUUCUCACCAUGGAUGUACCUAUUUAUUUUGUAUUUCAAAUGAAUCAUUCAUGCUGUCCUUUGGGGCUUUAUUUUGUAAUCUUUCGACAAGUUCCCACAAGUUGAAAACGAUGCCGUAUUGAACAUAAUACCUUCCCAGCCCCCUCACAAGGAGUCCUUCCCUGAAAGCGUCUCUGCUGAACUUCUCUGUGCAGGAGGCCAGCCCCAGGCACUGUCCACCUUUCUGGCGGAUAAUGGAGAGAGUGGUGCAAAAGUCUGCUCCUCCCUGGAGUCCAAACACUUCUUCAGCAAGAUUCUCAAAUAUGCAGGUCAAGGGCAGAGGCAGGUUCCAGUUAUCUGUCCCAUGUUCUGGAUGGGACCUAAGUGGAAGCCAGCCCUGCUUCAGCUCUGGCUCAUUUGGCACCUAGACGGUGAGUCUGGGAACUCAGGGGUUUGGUGUGGGGGGGUGGCCCAUGAACCCAGUCCCCUGCUCUGUGUCCCUGGAAUUACUGCCUGCAGCCUUUGCCCAGGGCCUCUCAUCACAAAUAAAUACAUUACAGGGUGAUUUGUGGAGUGCGUCAGGCCUGUGGGUGAUUUUUUUCCGACCUUCUAUUUCGAUUUCCAUUAUUCUCACUAUAGGGUAGGUGCAAGGAAAAGUAAGUAACAAAGGCAUUUAUCUUCUCUUCCUCUGUUCUCUCUCCUGGCUGUAGCUCUUCCAUCCUUUCUCUGCCUGUGGCUUGUCUUGGACACAAACGACCCUUCCCGAUUUCAGUAAUGGCCUGGAGCAAUUUCCACCCCCAAACAUGGCUGGUUUGGGGACUGCGGUUCCUUCUGCUCCAAGAAAAUCUAAAUGAAAACUGCUCAGAAAAGAUGUUCUAAACCUCUAACCAGCCACAAAAUAAAAGGCAGGGAGGAGUUCCCUGGUGGCUCA
rnacentral:lncRNA from 1 species